rnacentral:rRNA from 1 species
CGCAAUGGGCGAAAGCCUGACAGAGCAAUACCGCGUGAGGGAUGAAGACUUACUGAGUUGUAAACCUCGGUGCCUUAAGGAAGAAGAUUUGACGGUACUUAAGGUGGAAAGCAUCGGCUAACUCCGUGCCAGCAGCCGCGGUAAGACGGGGGAUGCAAGUGUUAUCCGGAUUUACUGGGCGUAAAGCGUUUGCAGGUGGUUUUUUAAGUCUACUGUUAAAUCUUGAGGCUCAACCUCAAAUUUGCAGUAGAAACUAGAAGACUUGAGUAUAGUAGGGGUAGAGGGAAUUUCCAGUGGAGCGGUGAAAUGCGUAGAUAUUGGAAAGAACACCGAUGGCGAAGGCACUUUUCUGGGCUUUUACUGACUUUCUACACGAAAGCUA